AAACACUUUCUGCUCUGUUUCUUCUCCUUCAGAACUAAGAAUUGGUCUCUUUUUCCCUCAUUUUUUAGCUGUAAUGGCUGUUGAUAAUGCUCUUUCAUUCCCUUUGUGUCCUGUAGCAUUCGAGAAAGACGCGAAAGCUCUUGAAUUCAUUGAGAAAAUGACUAGAAGUCCUGACUUGGUUCAAGAGAGAAUCUUGGCAGAAAUCUUGAACCGAAACAAGGAGGUGGAAUACUUGAAAAGGUUCAAACUUGACGGAGCUACCGACCGAGAAACGUUCAAGUCGAAGAUACCCGUGAUUACCUACGAGGAUCUUCAGCCUGAAAUCCAACGUAUAGCUAAUGGCGAUCGCUCUGCUAUCUUGUCAGCUCACCCCAUUUCUGAAUUCCUCACUAGCUCUGGGACUUCAGCUGGGGAAAGAAAGCUCAUGCCAACAAUUCAAGAAGAGCUGGAUCGUAGGCAAUUAUUGUAUAGUCUUCUCAUGCCAGUGAUGAACCUGUACGUGCCUGGCUUGGAUAAAGGCAAAGGCCUAUAUUUCCUGUUCAUCAAAUCUGAAACAAAGACCCCUGGUGGGCUCCUGGCUCGUCCUGUGCUUACUAGCUACUACAAGAGUGACCACUUCAAGACCCGACCCUAUGAUCCCUACAAUGUCUACACUAGCCCCAACGAGGCCAUUCUCUGUGCAGACUCCUUCCAAAGCAUGUUCACCCAGAUGCUAUGCGGCCUCCUGGAGCGCCAACAAGUUCUCCGUGUUGGUGCAGUAUUCGCAUCUGGCCUUCUCCGAGCCAUCAGGUUUCUUCAGCUGAACUGGCGAGACCUUGCUCUGGAUAUCGAGUCAGGGACGCUAAACAAGCGUGUUACUGACCCUUGUCUAAGAGAUUGCAUGGUCAAGAUCCUGAAACCCAAUCCAGAGCUUGCAGAGUUUAUCAGAUUCCAGUGUUCGAAGGAGAAUUGGGAAGGGAUUAUUACAAGAAUUUGGCCUAACACUAAAUACCUGGACGUGAUUGUCACUGGAGCCAUGGCUCAGUAUAUCCCUACCUUGGAUUACUACAGCGGUGGCUUACCAUUAGCCUGCACCAUGUAUGCCUCUUCAGAAUGUUACUUUGGGUUAAACCUCAACCCAAUGUGCAAACCAUCAGAAGUUUCCUAUACAAUCAUGCCAAACAUGGCCUACUUUGAGUUUUUGCCCCACGAACCUCACUCAGCCGGUUUGACUUGUGACUCACCUCCCAAACUCGUUGACCUUGUUGAUGUUGAAUUGGGUAAAGAAUACGAGCUUGUUAUCACCACCUACGCAGGUUUGUGCAGGUACCGAGUUGGUGACAUCCUCCGAGUCACCGGGUUCCACAACUCAGCUCCUCAGUUCCAUUUCGUUCGAAGAAAGAACGUGUUACUCAGUAUCGAUUCGGACAAAACUGACGAGGCUGAGUUACAAAAAGCGGUUGAGAACGCGUCACAACUCCUACGUGAAUACAACACAAGCGUAGUUGAAUACACGAGUUACGCAGAUGUAAAGACGAUUCCAGGCCACUACGUCAUAUACUGGGAGUUAUUGAUCAAAGACUCAACGAACUCACCGAGCGAGAAAGUACUGAGUGAGUGCUGCGUUGCAAUGGAAGAAUCGAUGAACUCAGUGUACAGACAAGGGCGAGUUGCAGAUAACUCAAUAGGUCCACUAGAGAUACGAGUAGUGAAAAAUGGAACAUUUGAAGAGCUAAUGGAUUAUGCAAUAUCAAGAGGAGCAUCCAUCAACCAGUAUAAGGUUCCAAGGUGUGUGAAUUUUACACCAAUCAUGGAGCUUCUUGAUUCCAGGGUGGUAUCUAGACAUUUUAGCCCAAGUUUGCCUCACUGGACCCCAGAAAGAAGAAGGUUAUGAUGAGAUAAGGAUAUGUUUGGCACAGAACAAAUUGAACUUUCUGAAAUGGAUAAUGGCAGAUAGAAUUAUUGUAGGAUAUUGAUUUUGCUUUUUGGGUAUGCUUUUGGAAGAAAAGGGUUGAAGUGUAAGUUUGAAUAGGAUGUUUCAGAGGGGUCAGGUUUUGUAUUUCGGUUCAAUUAACCAAAUGGAAAUGAUGUGACUAUGGAGAUGCUUUGUCUAAUGAAAUGUUAUUUUCACCUUGUAAUAGAAACAU
rnacentral:misc_RNA from 1 species